rnacentral:rRNA from 1 species
GACGAACGCUGGCGGCGUGCUUAACACAUGCAAGUCGAACGGUGAAGCGCCUUCCUUUUUGGUGGGUGUGGAUGAGUGGCGAACGGGUGAGUAACACGUGAGUAACCUGCCCCCUUCUUCUGGAUAACCGCAUGAAAGUGUGGCUAAUACGGGAUAUUCUGGGUCUGUCGCAUGAUGGGUCUGGGAAAGAUAUUGUUUCGGUGGGGGAUGGGCUCGCGGCCUAUCAGCUUGUUGGUGGGGUGAUGGCCUACCAAGGCGGUGACGGGUAGCCGGCCUGAGAGGGUGGACGGUCACACUGGGACUGAGACACGGCCCGGACUCCUACAGGAGGCAGCAGUGGGGAAUAUUGAACAAUGGGCGAAAGCCUGAUGCAGCGGCGCCGCGUGAGGGAUGGAGGCCUUCGGGUUGUGAACCUCUUUCGCCAGUGAAGCAGGCCUGCCUCGUUUGUGGGUGGGUUGACGGUAGCUGGAUAAGAAGCGCCGGCUAACUACGUG